rnacentral:tRNA from 1 species
UCGCCUAUAAUUCAAUCUGGUUAGAAUGACCGUCUUAUAAGCGGUUUAUAUGGGUUCAAAUCCCAUUAGGCGAA